rnacentral:misc_RNA from 1 species
GAAAUGCGAUAAGUAAUGUGAAUUGCAGAAUUCAGUGAAUCAUCGAAUCUUUGAACGCACCUUGCGCUCCUUGGUAUUCCUUGGAGCAUGCCUGUUUGAGUAUCAUGAAAUCUUCAAAGUAAAUCUUUUGUUAACUCAAUUGGUUUCUACUUUGGUAUUGGAGGUCUUUGCAGCUUCACACCUGCUCCUCUUUGUUCAUUAGCUGGAUCUCAGUGUUAUGCUUGGUUCCACUCGGCGUGAUAAGUUAUCUAUCGCUGAGGACACUGUAAAAGGUUGCCAAGGUAAAUGCAGAUGAACCGCUUCUAAUAGUCCAUUGACUUGGACAAUACUUUUAUGAUCUGAUCUCAAUUCAGGUAGGACUACCCGCUGAACUUAAGC